rnacentral:rRNA from 1 species
UACGAAGGGGGCUAGCGUUGCUCGGAAUCACUGGGCGUAAAGGGUGCGUAGGCGGGUCUUAAGUCAGGGGUGAAAUCCUGGAGCUCAACUCCAGAACUGCCUUUGAUACUGAGGAUCUUGAGUUCGGGAGAGGUGAGUGGAACUGCGAGUGUAGAGGUGAAAUUCGUAGAUAUUCGCAAGAACACCAGUGGCGAAGGCGGCUCACUGGCCCGAUACUGACGCUGAGGCACGAAAGCGUGGGGAGCAAACGGG